GGAAACUAGCAUGACAAUCCAACCCGCUUGAGUUUGUGGAUUAAGAAUGAUAUACUAUGCAAAGAAAAUCAUAAGUAAAUACCUAAUAAUGAUCUCUGCAUGGUAGGACUAAGUGCAAUUUUCAUUUUCUUCUUUUUGAGUGCUGCGGCUUUUGACAAUUUCUCCAGUGACCAUGUUUGCUUUUUAAAUGAAAAUAAUAAUUUUUUUUGAAAACAGUAACUUGCUUUUUUUCUCUCUCUCUCUUCUCUGGGGUUCUCAUUCCUUAAGUGCCUCAUCCAUCAUGCUUCCUUCCACCCCUCUGACCUUCCCUCCUCGCCGGUGCCUGGUAGACACUGGCCGAGGUGGGGCUGGAGUCUAGGAAGGCAGUGGCUCUAGUCGGGAGUCCUAGAGUCAUGAUGACACCGAUGAUAUCACCACCAAGGACACUUUUCCGUCCUCUCUGCAGCCAUUUAAGAGGACAGAGGCCAGGGAUGUGGAGGGAGAGAUGCUUUCCUCAUUUUUUUGUGUCGGAGUGACUGUCUCUCCUCCCCCAAGCAGAAGGGUUCAGGCUGAGCUCUGCUGAGCCAGUGUGGGCUGGGCCUCUGCACUGUCCAAGCUCCCAAGUAGCACUCCGUCCUCAAAUCUGCUCCUCAGUCCCCUCUGAGCCCUUGCUCAGAGUCUCACUCUGACUCUCCAGGCGGAAAAGGCCUCUGUGGGCCAAUCAGGCCGCUUUGAGAGAAAGGGAGAUGAUGACAAGCCAGUGGGGCCGGUUAAGGCAUCCCCGCCUGGGAGGGGGCCUGGAUGAAAAUAGAACAGAGGCAGGAGAGGAGGUGGCUUAGUGAGCUGGAGGGCGAAGCAUGCUGAUUAUCAAAGAGCGAAUUACCUGGGCCUAAUUACGAGCGCACUUAAACAUCACAUUGCCUCCUGAUACACAACGGAAGUGGCUCAGAUUCUAUCACAAAGAGUCAGAAAGGGUGAUAAAAAUAAAAGAUGGAUCUCAGCCCUGUGUCCUUCCCCUCCCUUCCUUCCUGCCUGUCAUUAGUUGUGGUAGGAAGAAGAAUGCCCAACCCCCAGCUCAGCCUGGUGGGAGCUUGGUGUUUUCUCCCUGUCCUCUGUUGGCCGAAACUGCCUACACAGGGAUGGGAGAGAUGGCAUGGUGAGGGGUCCCUCUCAGGUGGUCUAAUGCCAGGACAUCCAGGAAGCCUGCUGUCCUCACUGGGGCAGGUUGUGUGCUCAGAGUUUUUUCUGUCUUAUACCAGGUGGUCCCUGAGGUCCCAGGACAGAAGAGGGGGGGACUCUGCCUGUGGCCCUGUGCAAGCAUGACAUUUCCUCACUUCCAGGAAACUGGAGACCAAAUCCAAACAAAGCCAUCCCUGCAGAAGGUUGUCAGUGUUUCUGGUCCCUUGGUUGAGUUUUCACUUUGUAAUAAUGCUGUUUAAUAAUGGUUAUGCAGCAGAAGAUAGAGUGGGGUUGAGCUCCUCAUCCCUACUCUGUUUCUUAGUGCCUGCAAUGCUUUAUCCCCCAUCUUCUCUACAUGUCCAAAUCUCACACAUCUUCCAAAGCCGGAUCAGUCCCGCCUCCUUGGUGCAUAUCAGAGAGCUAGCAAGAGCACUGGAUCCUGUGUCCCCGCCCCAUUCCUACUGCCCGUCAGUCAGGUAACUUGAUAACCAUGUUGUCUGGCAAGGGGACUUCUGUGACAGUGGCCUUCACACUCGACCAUCAGAGUCACCCAGGAGCAUAGCGAUUCCUAGGCUCCACUCCCUGUCCAUCCAUCUACAUUAUCAGCACGUGUCCUGGGGAAUUAGGAGGCAGGGGUUCUACAACCGCACUGAGAAAUGCCCUGCAAGCUGUGUCCCUCCCACCCCAGGCUGCCUCCAAGGACAGGGCUCCUACACGUGAUGUCCAGCUGGAAGGGCACCCCUCCCAUUCACCUGUGUUCAUGGGCACUCACUCUGUACCCAGUCCCAUUCACUGGGCUCAGGGGCUCCCUGCAGUUAAACUUCCACUCAAGGGGGCCCUCGCAUUACAUAAGCUCUUUCUAUGCAAAUAGGACAACAAAUCCUGCCCUGCCCUUCCCACCUGGCUGGAUUGUUGUUUUAAUUAAGCGAGACAAGGGACGUGCAAGUGCUCUGAGAGCUAUAAGAUUGGGAAUCAGAGGCAGAGUUAUCUAUGCCCACUGGGCAAUGAUUCACUGACUGCCUUGUGACAUUUCCUCUGCACAGUCCACCGCACUUAUUAAAAAUCUCACAAAUCUACUUAACUGCUCCCAGCUGAGGGCUUGGCUUUGUUGAGUGGCUGCAUUCAGCUUGUUCAGCAAAGCCUGCCUCCUUCCACAAGAUGGCCAGAGCUGUUUUCUUGAUUUCUAUUGGUGGACAGAAACAGGAUUUCUUCCCAGGAGGGGCAAAACUGAUCCGGGUAGUUGGGAAUCCUCACUGUGGCUUCAUUAACACCUGCUGACUUCAUUCUUAGGCGGUUGACUGAGGCCCCAGGAGUAAGUCAUUUUCUUGAGAUGGAUGGGUAAGGUUCCUCUCCUCUGGUGGGGGGUCCAGGCUUCAGUCCCUCUGUUUGAGUUAUCUGCUGCUUGGGUGAGACGCCAUCUGAAAGCUCAGACUCGUAAAGCAACACUUUAUUGUUUCCCGUGAUUCUGUGGUUGACAGGCUUCAGCUGGGCGGUUCUGCUCCCCGGGGCUGACCAUCUCCUCUCCUGUGAAGCUGCUUGCAGCUGGGAGCUUGACCCCAAUGGAGAGGCCCAGAGGCCUCUUGUUCUCUGGGCUUCUCUCCACACGGCGUUUCAACACUGAGCUGUGCAGCUGAGCUUCUCUGCGAGGGCAAACCCAUGAGCACGUGCUUAUGGAGCCACUGUUGGUGUGGAACUGGCUGCCCCGAGUCACAGGACCAAGCCUGGUGUCCACAUAGGACGGGGAACAUUCACCUUCAGCCGGGCUGCACAGGCCUUUGGGGCUUCUAAUUUAGUUUGGCAGGCGGGGCAGCCACCAGAGGCUCUACUUUGCUGGAGUGUCUGUCUUGUGAUUGAUUGGAGCUGAGAAUGAAACCCUGCGGCUCUGUUCUGUUGGCUCCCUGAAAUGAUCAGGAGUUACUUCCUCCGUCAAGGAGACUGACCCAGCUGGGGUCUGGGGUGGCCACUGCUCCCCCGGCACCACCGGCCCAAAAACUCUCGCUGGUAUGGAUGCUGGGCUUCAUGCUACUCUCAACCAUCUAAGCUCACCGAAAGCAGGGCCAGUACCCCACAUCCAAUAUUCAGCUGUAUUGAUGUCUAUGUCACUCGAGUGUCCACAUCAACAGCCUGUACCUACAAAUGGAGCUACAUUUCCUAUUUACAGCAGGAACCUCAUCAGCUACAAAUUGGUCACCCUCAGACUGUUUGCUGGGUAUUUGUGGGUCUGAGUGGUAACUGCCUCCCAGAUAAGCGUGAUGCCUGUAGCCACCAUGUCUUCUCCCUUCCUGCUUUGCCCUCCCCGCCUGGCCUCCCCACUAGGCACUGCUGGCAAAGCUGUUGAGAGGCGCCCCGCUGGGGCCACUGUCCACCGCAGAAGUGCCCAGGGGGUCAAUUCUGGAUCCUUCCAGAGUGAAGCCUGGGCAGAGCAGAGCAAAGGGUCCUCUCCCAGUCCUGAGUCGCACCCAUCUGCUGGCCACCAGAACAGCCAGGAGAUCCAGCGUCUUGGGGUUUCACUAUUGAAGAAUUUAGCCAGCUUGAUGCCAUCACACAUGGUCCAGAGCCUCACAGAGUCUCAAGAAGAACAAUCCUGGUAGUUUCCGGCCCUUGCUCCUCUAACUGCAGAAUUGCAAAACAGCCCCCGGGGGGAGGGUGGGGCAACUACAUCCUAGAGUUAUUUCUGUGUUUAUCAGGAUUCUGAGGAUGUAAAUGACAUCCAGAUACCCAAUGCAAACUGGCCUCAACAAAAAUGGGACUUUAUAUGGCACGAAAGGGCUCAGGUGGUAAAGUAUCCACCUGCAAAGCGAGAGACCCAGGUUGGAUCUCUGGGUUGGAAAGAACCCCUGGAGUAGGAAAUGGCAACCCACUCCAGUAUUCUUCCACAGAGAAUCUCAUGGACAGAGGAGCCUGGAGGGUUACAGUCCAUAAGGUCGCAGAGAGUUGGACAUGACUGAGUGAUAAUCACCCAUGCACAAAGCUGAGAAUGCUCCCGGAACAGGUCCCCAGGUGUAGGAAAAGCUACAGGAAGAGGGCCUCAGGGCGAGAAUGUGGCACAGCUCCCCUCUCCACCUUUCCUCUCUUCCCUUCCCUCCUUUUUUCUCUUCUCCCCCACCUCCCUCUGACAUUUACUUCUUCUAUGUCCUUAAUUUCUCAUCUUUGACCUCGCUGGCAGACAGCCUGUCUCUGUGUGAGGGAAGAAGUGUCUACUGGAGUCCCAGAUUCACAUUCUUCUGUUCAGCAACCUUAUUGGAAAAAAGGAGCUCUCCUUCCCAGUGUGUACACAGAUAUCAGGGUCGAGGCAGGC